rnacentral:tRNA from 1 species
AAGGGUAUAGCUCAACUGGUAGAGUGCCUGCUUAGCAUGCGUGAGGUCCUGGGUUCAAUCCCCAGUACCUCCA